ensembl:lncRNA
AUACGGUACGUUCGCGGAACACACUGCAGUUUGUUGAGCGAAGAGGAGCGAGCCGAUCAAACUGAGCUGAUGGGGAUGCCAGUAGGAGAGUGCGUGGAGCAGACACAUAUUACAUAUUCUUUCUACAUCACCAGGGAGGAUCAGCAUGCAAGGUUACAGAGGCGUGGCCAACAGACUGCAGGACACACACACUCCAACAGACAGCUAUUGACCUGAAGAGUGCUGUGACUGACAAUAGGGAUCACAGAGAGAGCUAAAGUGGAGACUCAGUGGUGGAACUGAGACAAGAACUGACCCUUUGUCACAUCUCCAUCUGAGGCCACUCCUUCCUCCGGUCCAUCACAGCCACAGUGUUCAAUGUCUAAAGCUGCUACCGUUCCCCAACGCUCUGAACUUGAACAUAACCCGUCCUGUUCUGUCUUAUUGCACACACCUGUUCCCAGUUCCCUAACCAUUAAGUGUCUUCAUGUUCCCUCUGUUUUCCCCUGUUCCUUGUCUAGUAUUGAGAAGUCUGACACAAUGUGCUGCUGCAUGUGCAGUCCGUUUAUGUUAAAGAAUAAAUAUUCCGGUGCUGCAUUCCCUGCGCCUGGUUCCUUUCUUCUUGUGAUCACCCUGACACCCCUGGUCUCUAUCAGGGAGCCGCAUAUGGUAUGUUAAUGAAGCCAGGAGUGUUACCACAGGUCCAUGGCUAUGCUAUUGGUAUGUGGUUCUAUUCACAUGUUAUUUUGCAGUGAAGAAGCAAUAAAAAAUGUUUGCGCUGCAAUAAAAC